rnacentral:piRNA from 1 species
UACUUGGCUGGGCAUUGUAGUGGCACA